AUAAUCUUGGCCUGCUUGUCCAAAAUGGAGAGUCUCUGCCGUUCGGUGUGCUUUCUGAGCUCAGUUUGCUCCACCUUCACUUGACAGACAGACAGAAGCUUCUCAGCACCCUGUACCAAAGAUGUGGAGAGACCAAUAGCACUGAUGCCUACCUGCCCUGCACACUGGCACUGUUCAGCGCACACCUGCAAUCUUUACAACUACAUCAGGAUACUGCCAUAAAGACUAAUUAAAUGGAGGACAAUGCCACUCCACGAAACAUCCCAAACAUCUGCUUCCAGCCAAACCCGAGGAGGAAUCAUAAAGAAAUCUACCACAUAACUUUAACUACUUCAUAACUUAAUUAUUUUUUAAACAAUUCCCA
rnacentral:lncRNA from 1 species